rnacentral:lncRNA from 1 species
UUAGGAGAAUUGGAGCUGCAGCUACUGGCCUAUGCUGCAGCCACAGCAACACAGGAUCCAAGCCAUGUCUGUGACCUACACCACAUCUCACGGCAAUGCCGGAUCCUUAACCCACCGAGCGAGGCCAGGGAUUGAUCCUGCAUCUUCAUGUUCACUACGUGUACACUAGGUGGGUUUGUUACCACUAAGCCAUGACAGGAAUUCCAUAAAAUUCUUAAUAAAGGUUACUAUUUUAAAUGUACUUUUUUCUUAAUGUAGUUAUAUAUAUUCUUCCUAAUGAAAUAUCUCAUUAUCAUUAUUUUACAACUUCUUGAAUGUAAAAUUUCCAAGUAAUUGUGAAAUUAUACUUUACUUUUAUUAUAAAAGCUUCAUAAUUCUUCACACCCCUUAGACUGUAUAAGAAACAUAUUUAAUAAUUAUAUAUAAUAAUUUACUCUUAUCAUAUAUGACACUUACAUAUCUGAAAGUACUUGCUCUCCUGAAAGAACAUGCCAUAAUGACUUCUGUAUGCAUCAAACCAUUCGUGGGCUAAAUCCCAGACACUUCUGGAAACAUAAUUUCAUUCACAACUGUCUUAUCUUUAAUGUGAACAGCAGUAUAACAAUUUCAUCAUCCAGAUCUCUAAUCUAUAGCAGACUAUAAAUAGAAAAUUGUAGGGAAAGAGAAUCUGGAGUUCUUCUUCAAGAAAAAGGCAGAUUGGCAAAUGCACCCUGCUCUGUCCCCCUAGGUUCUUUAAAUUGUUCAUGUCCAUUAACACAAACUUAUUCUUUGUACAUAAAUGAUCAGUCAAAGUCAUGAAGAGUCACACAUUUAGCCAGACUGUCUUUAGCUCACUGUUUUUAAUCUCCUGGUUCUUGUAUCUUUACUGGUUCUGUCCAUCCUGAUACCCAUCUCUUGUUGCUCUGGUGCCUCUAACAGUCUUAGUAGUUGACCAUUAAAUAUUAAAUUUCUUUCUCUGUUUUUUCACACACAUACACACACACUUCUGGUACUCCCUGUCCUUAUACAGGGUCUAACACUACAGGUAAGAGGAAGCCCCAUUUCUGGUUUGAGUUUCUCAGGACCCAUAGCAGUCAGCAUACUCUUUUCUUCCCUUUCCUCUAGAGGACAACAGACUACAAUAGAGAGAAAGGCUUGAUGAGCAAAUAGGGUGAAAGGAGACCAUGAACACUUAAACAACAACAACAGAAAAAAGUGAAGGAAAUGUGUGUGAUAUACACAUAUAUAUUUUUAUAUCCACCAUGUGUAUGUAUAUAUACAUACAUAGAUCCAUAUAUACUACCCAAAUAAAUAGGAGUUGGGUUUUAUUUCAAAGUUUUUUUGUGUCUGUUCUCACUAUUGACCUCAUUCUUAUACAUCACAGCCAUCUGAACCACUCAGUGUAGGGACAAGCAAAUCUAUACAAUAUUCAUAUUACCAGUAUUAACGGCAUGCAUGUAUCUGUUACAGCAAGCUCAGUGGCUUUUUUUUAAAAACCAGAGCAGGAGUUCCUGUCGUGGCGCAUGGUUAACGAAUCCGACUAGGAACCAUGAGGUUGCGGGUUCGGUCCCUGCCCUUGCUCAGUGGGUUAACGAUCCGGCGUUGCCGUGAGCUGUGGUGUAGGUUGCAGACGCGGCUCGGAUCCCUCGUUGCUGUGGCUCUGGCGUAGGCCAGAGGCUACAGCUCCGAUUCGACCCCUAGCCUGGGAACCUCCAUAUGCCGCGAGAGCGGCCCAAAGAAAUGGCAAAAAAACCAAAAAAAAAAAAAAAAAAA